GAAGGUUAGAGAUCCCUUGUUGCGCAUUCACUUGCCUCCAUGGCUAAGUGGCUUCACCCCAACUAUGUCAUGGACACCCUCGGAUGGAGUGACUUUGACAUAGUCAAAGAUCAAGGACCUAACCACAAGACAACUAUGAUGCCUCAGGUUAAAUGACUACUUUGCAUUAUCCCAACCAUGAGUUCUCAUGUGACAUGAGUAUGAGAACUCCUUGUUGAUCACAUUCAGUGAACUCAUUCUCUAUUGAGCACCUACGUACUUGUCUUGGUGUCAGUCACACCAAUGACUCGAGACCAGUCACUCUCCCUAAGAGAAGACGUAGCACGUACUGAUCUUAACGGACUGUCAAUGCCCAAUUGGCAAUCCUAUGAUCAGGAACGUUUAGGAUAUGUAUACGAAAGAGAAUGGUCUCAUGAAUCUGACUUCUUUAGAUCGCAUUCUCCCAAUUACAUAUUCCUUGGACUUAUCGGGAUCUUAAUCUUUGGGAUCUUAAUCUUAAUCUUCAACAACGAAGGUGGAUUGAAUUGCUCAGUGAUUAUGAUUGCAUGAUUGAGUAUCACCCUGG
rnacentral:lncRNA from 1 species